rnacentral:piRNA from 1 species
UGUGUUUAUUGUUCACAUUUUUGGUCCACU